GUGAGUGUGUGUGCACGUGAGCACUUGGGUGGGGGGGCCAGAGUGGGGAGAGGGAGGCAUAUGGGUCUCCCACUUUGGGAGACUCCCGCCCUAUGGAUUUUCCACUGGCAUGUCGGCACCCUCUCCCCUAAAAUAGGCUCUACGAGCCGUGUGCGACAGAGCCCAGACUGAGGGGCCUUUUUUUAGCUGGCCUUUGAUUGUCAGCUCUCGAGCAGCUGCUAUUUUGAGCCCCAACGCCUAGAGGAGUAGGGCCAAGUGGGGGCUGAGGUUAGCUCAGUGGGCCUGGCUGGCUCCCCGAAGGCAUCCCCAAGGGGGCUGGCCAUCCCAUCUCACACCCUGCAUUGCUGGCAAGGAGAGCACGACAUCUCCUAUAGAUGGGGCCUAAGGGCUCCUCUGUCUACCUCUGCGGAAGCUGCAGACCUGGCAGAAAACAACCACAUUUACAGAGCACACCCCACAGGCCACUGCCCACCCACCCCCACCCAGAGAAGAGCAUGCUGUGGGGAUUAACUGAGAUAAUACAAGCAAAGCCCUUACUUAGCACAGAGGCUGGCACAUAAUUGGCUCUCAAAAAAUGGAACAGCUUCUGUUAUUAUUGUCAUUACAGCUGCAGUCAUUCUUGGUUUUGUUGUUAUAGUUAUGUUUUUACCAGAUUUCUUUCCAGUCUUUUUUCUAUGCAUUUAUUUUAUGUUACUGGGUUCGGGACAUGACCCUUCCCACCCCAUCCCCAUACAUGUGUACACGCCUAGUUUCAGCAGAAAGCAGCCCCUCUCAGUCUGCUGGGGUGCCCUCUAUGUCUCUGUGCUCCACUCCAUACAGGAAUCCCCCCUUCUAUAUAAGGCUUUUGGGGUUGACCCUCGAGAUGGCACUUGACCUUUCAGAGUGGAUGUAGUUGUGCCCACAGCUUCUGUGAUUUCUUCAAAUGCCAUCAGCCACUGCCCCAUAGGAUUCCAGGCCCCCAAUUCUGAAUGUCCAGUUCUAGAUGCUAGAUCCCUGGCUGGCCACUGUACCUGGGUUCUAGAGCCCUCUGACUGGAACCUGAGGAAAUGGGCUUGGUCCACAGCUAGAUGUGAGAAAGUGGCAUUGCCACUGCAUAAGGCGUGGCAAUGGAUCCUAAGGACAAAUGUAGAUGCUCUGGGACUCUGGUUAUGGGGUGUGUGUGUGUGUGUGUGUGUGUGUGUGUGUGUGUGCAGGGGUAUGGGCUGCUGAGAAGAGGGGGAUGAGGGUAGGAAGCCAAGUUCUGGGAAGUGGCUGGGGCAGGCCCUCCCCUUCCCUAUUGGGGUCACUUCCCAGCAGGGCAGCAAGAUCAGCUGGGGUUGGGGGGUCAUAUGUUCCAUCCUUGUCCCAAACAGUUACUGCACAAGGUGAGACUUCCUUGUUACCCGAAGGACAAAAAUAGGUCCCAGGUGAUGGGCCACGAUCCAUGCCCAGAACCACAAGGGUUAUUCUGAGUGGCAGGCACAGGGCCAGGCCUGGCCUCAGUCAGGUGGACCUGAGCUGGCAGUGGCAUCCUCAGCCUGCGGGCUUGCUCUGUCCAUUCAGGGACCCUAAAUGUAGGUCGGGGGCUGGAACUGCGUGCAGGCUGACGCUCGAUCGGUAGGGGCUUGAGUCCCAACUCCGCUAUGUGACCUUGGAAUUUUGGCCAGAAACAAGAGGAGUCCUGUCCGAGGAGAGCCCGGCUGGCUGACUGGAAUCCCAAGACAUGCCAAGGUCCCUGGGAAAUGACAGGACACCCAGAUCUGCUGGGAGCAGAGUUCUCAUAGGGUCCCAGCUGAGCCCUGGAACUCCCCAGACCCCCUCUGCCACUCCAUCUCUGCGUCAGCCCAGCACCUGUGCCCUAUCCGGCUUUGGCCACCAUCUCCACCCUGGGGAGGGGGAGCAUAACCCCCUCCAGCCUGAGGUUGGCGCCAAGGUUUAGGAGCCAGCACAGAAGCCUCUGAGAGCCAUAAGGGUAGAAAAGGUUACCCGGUACUAAACCAGCCAGCCUCGGGGUGAUCUCAUCCACUUCCCAAGAUAAGCCCCCUCCCCCACCCUCUGGCCACUGGCCAACAGGGUAAGUCACGAGGGAGCUGGUGGAAGAGUGUGUGUGAGGGCUGGGGGAAGGAUUUCAACUUGGGGUCACACUGUACAUUCUGUUUUGUGAUCAAUUCCCCCCAACAUUUACAGUAUUGACAAUUAGCAGUUUCCUGUCAGAUAAACUAUAAAGAUCUUCCCCCAUCACUUUUUCUUUUCCUAAUUAUUUCUAAAGUCUGCCAGGAUGGACACAUCAGAAUCUCUUUGUCCAGCCCUUGAGGAGGACAUGUAAACAGUGUCCAGUUUCUCUUUCUUACAAACACCAGUGCCAUAACCAUUUUUGUUCAAAUCCUCUUACGCAAUUGCCUCUCUCUCUCUCUCCCUUUCUCUCUUUCUCUCUCCCUCUCUCUAUUUCUCACUCAGUUGAGAUAAAUUCUGCCUGGUAGCAGGUGGGAGGGCAGGCCUCACUGUGUGCCUGAGUAGUUCUGGGCCCUUCCCCAAGCCAGAGGUGCCAGGCCCAGGGCAGAGGCCAGUCCAGGGCCACAGGGUCAGGACAGUGGACAGGCUAUGGUCUGCUGGACUCUGCCUGCUCGAGGCGGGCUCCCCAAGCUUCCACCUGCUCUUGCCCACCCCCAGCCCCAAGGACUAGGCUGGCCUGGACACAGGGAAAGGCCAUAUACAGGGUAUCACAUGACCCAUGCGUGCACACAGCCCCCAAUCCCAGGCAUAGGCAGAGGUCCCAGCCUCAGGGUGGGGCCCCCACACUCCGUCCAAUUCACAUCUUGCCUAGUGCUCCCCAGCUCUUGCUAGAAUGCUUCCAUAGACCAACAGCUCACUCUCCCUCCUAAGUUGCUGCCCGGCCUUUGGGGAGCAGGUGGAGCACAUGCUUCUUAUCAAAUCAAUACCUAUUCGGUAGAAUCACAUGAUUGCUGAGGAAGGUUUGGAUUCAGACACCAGGGUUUCAAACUCGACUCUGCAUUUACUAUUUUUGUGACCUUGGGCACAACCUUUUACAUGCCCAGGCUCAGUUUCUUCAUCUGUAAAAUGGGUUAAUAAUACUUGAUCAUAGGGUUGCAUGAAGAUUAAAUGAGAUAAUACAUGUAAAGUGCUCAGCAAGGCUCACAGAUGUGACCUAGUUUAUGAUCACAAAUUAUCACAAAUUGAGUCCCUACUAUGUCCAGUUAACAGAGAGACUCCCUCACUGGAAGCAACUCAGAGUGGCUGAAGCACAGAAGUGGUAGAGGUAUGAGAUGGGGUUGAAGAGUGGGCAGGGCCAGGUCACACUCAGCCUUGCACAUCAUGAAGGGAUUGUGACAUUUUUCUGACUCCUUGGAAGCAGGGGAGGAUGGUGGGAGGCAGAAAUGGGAGGAUGUCACUGAAAGCUUUUAUUAUUUUUUUUAAUGAUUUGUUUGUUUGUUUGUUUGUUUGUUUUAGAGACAGGUCUCUAUUGCUCAGGCUGGAGUGCAGUGGCAUGAUCAUAGCUCACUGUAACCUCAAACUCCUGGGUUCAAGCGAUCCUUCUGCCUCAGCCUCCCAAGUGGCUGGAACUACAGGGGUGUGCGACCACUCCUGGCUCAUUUUGUUCAACAUUAUUUUGUUACAACAUUGAUGAAGAAAAAAAUCUAUUUCUGGCUGGGGCUACUGUCUGUGUGGAGUCUGUAGAGGACUUUCUCUGGGUACUCUGGUUUCUUCCCCCAUCCCAAAGAUGUGCAUGUUAGAUUAACUAGCUUGUCUGCAUGCUCCCAGUCUGCAUGAGUGUGAGUGUACUCAAGGCAAUGGCAUCCUGUCUAGGCCUGGUUCCCGCCUGGCGCCCUGAGCUGCUGGGAUAGGCUCCAGCCAUCCAUGACCUUGAACUGGAAUAACUGGAUAAAUAAUUCUAUUACUUGUUUUUAUUAAUCUUUCUUUCUUUCUUUUUUUUUUUUUUUUUUGAGAUGGAGUUUCACUCUUGUUGCCCACGCUGGAGUGCAAUGACACAAUCUUGGCUCACUGCAACCUCCGCCUCCUGGAUUCAAGAAAUUCUCCUGCCUCAGCCUCCUGAGCAGCUGGGAUUACAGGUGCCCACCACCAAGCCCGGCUAAUUUUUGUAUUUUUAGGAGAGACAGGGUUUCGCCAUGUUGGCCAGGCUGGUCUCAAAUCCCUGACCUCAGGUGAUCCACCUUCCCCAGCCUCCCAAAGUGCUGGGAUUACAGGUGUGAGCCACCACACCUGGCCUUGUUUCUAUUAGUCUUUCUUACACGUGUUUCAAUGUUUAAUAUGAGAAGCAUUUGGGUCUUUAUUUAGAAGUCUGAUGAUAUUUCUAUCACCAGAAAUAUGCUGUAGGAACUUAACUCUUGUUUAUGUCAAUUAGCCUAUGACAAAAUUGGUUUCCUUGUAUGUCAUUUUGCUUAAAGCUGCAAUUUCCAAGAACUACAUUAAGUGAGGACAUUAUAUAAAGACUUACUAUAUUCUAUUAGUUGUUGUCAGGCCUCUGAGCUCAAGCUAAGCCAUCAUAUCCCUUGUGACCUGCACCUAUACAUCCAGAUGGCCUGGAGCAACUGAAGAUCCAC
rnacentral:lncRNA from 1 species